rnacentral:rRNA from 1 species
AUCCGCCAUAGAUGGUGAUAGCCCAGUAGAUUAAAUCAAGCUUUCUCAGUUCAGGAUCCUGAGUACGGCGGAACACGUGAAAUUCCGUCGGAAUCCGGGAGGACCAUCUCCCAAGGCUAAAUACUACCUAGUGACCGAUAGUGAACCAGUACCGUGAGGGAAAGGUGAAAAGCACCCCGGAAGGGGAGUGAAAUAGUUCCUGAAACCAUGUGCCUACAAUAAGUCAGAGCGCGUUAAUGCGUGAUGGCGUGCCUUUUGUAGAAUGAACCGGCGAGUUACGAUCCCGUGCAAGGUUAAGACUUAAAAGUCGGAGCCGUAGCGAAAGCGAGUCUGAAAUGGGCGAUUUUAGUACGAGGUUGUAGACCCGAAACCAGGUGACCUAUCCAUGUCCAGGUUGAAGAUGCGGUAAAACGCAUUGGAGGACCGAACCCGUGUAAGUUGAAAAUUGCUGGGAUGAGGUGUGGAUAGCGGUGAAAUUCCAAACGAACUUGGAGAUAGCUGGUUCUCUCCGAAAUAGCUUUAGGGCUAGCCUUGGAUUAAAGGAUCAUGGAGGUAGAGCACUAUUUGGACUAGGGGCCCGUCUUGGGUUACUGAAUUCAGAUAAACUCCGAAUGCCAUUGAUUUAUAUCCGGGAGUCAGACGAUGAGUGAUAAGAUCCACCGUCGAAAGGGGAACAGCCCAGACCGUCAGUUAAGGUCCCUAAAUGUAUACUAAGUGGAAAAGGAUGUGGAGUUGCAUAGACAACUAGGAUGUUGGCUCAGAAGCAGCCACCAUUUAAAGAGUGCGUAAUAGCUCACUAGUCGAGUGAUUCUGCGCCGAAAAUGUACCGGGGCUAAGUAUACUACCGAAACUACGGAUGUGACCAUUAGGUCACGUGAUAGGAGAGCGUUCUAAGGGCAAUGAAGCAAGAUCGCAAGGACUUGUGGAGCGCUUAGAAGUGAGAAUGCCGGUAUGAGUAGCGAAAGAUGGGUGAGAAUCCCAUCCACCGAAUGACUAAGGUUUCCUGGGGAAGGCUCGUCCUCCCAGGGUUAGUCGGGACCUAAGUCGAGGCCGAGAGGCGUAGACGAUGGAUAACAGGUUGAUAUUCCUGUACCAGUUAAAUGCGUUUGAAUGAUGGAGGGACGCAGGAGGCUAAGAUGUGCAUUCUGUUGGAUUAGAAUGUUCAAGCAGUAAGUCUUUUGAUGAGUCAAAUGCUUAUCAAUUUAAGGACAAGCUGUGAUGAGGAGCGAAAUUUAAGUAGCGAAGCGUCUGAUGUCACACUGCCGAGAAAAGCUUCUAGUGAGUAUUUAACUGCCCGUACCGCAAACCAACACAGGUAGUUGAGGAGAGAAUCCUAAGGUGAGCGAGUGAACUCUCGUUAAGGAACUCGGCAAAAUGACCCCGUAACUUCGGGAGAAGGGGUGCUGAUCGCAAGAUCAGCCGCAGUGAAUAGGCCCAGGCGACUGUUUAUCAAAAACACAGGUCUCUGCAAAAUCGUAAGAUGACGUAUAGGGGCUGACGCCUGCCCGGUGCUGGAAGGUUAAAAGGAUGGGUUAGCUUCGGCGAAGCUCAGAAUUGAAGCCCCAGUAAACGGCGGCCGUAACUAUAACGGUCCUAAGGUAGCGAAAUUCCUUGUCGGGUAAGUUCCGACCCGCACGAAAGGCGUAACGAUCUGGGCACUGUCUCAACGAGAGACUCGGUGAAAUUAUAUUGUCCGUGAAGAUGCGGACUACCCGCGACAGGACGGAAAGACCCCAUGGAGCUUUACUGUAGCUUGAUAUUGAGUGUUUGUACAGCUUGUACAGGAUAGGUAGGAGCCAUAGAUACCGGAACGCUAGUUUCGGUGGAGGCGUUGGUGGGAUACUACCCUCGCUGUAUGACCACUCUAACCCGCACCACUAAUCGUGGUGGGAGACAGUGUCAGGUGGGCAGUUUGACUGGGGCGGUCGCCUCCUAAAAA